UACGUAGGGUGCGAGCGUUAAUCGGAAUUACUGGGCGUAAGGAGUGCGUAGGCGGUCCCGCAAGUCCGCUGUGAAAGCCCCGGGCUUAACCUGGGAAUGGCAGUGGAAACUAGGGGACUUGAAUCUGGCAGAGGGGGGUGGAAUGCCACGUGUAGCAGUGAAAUGCGUAGAGAUGUGGCGGAACACCGAUGGCGAAGGCAGCCCCCUGGGCUGAGAUUGACGCUCAGGCACGAAAGCGUGGGGAGCAAACAGG
rnacentral:rRNA from 1 species